rnacentral:rRNA from 1 species
CUACCCUAAAGACGAGGAUAACCAUUGGAAACAGUGGCUAAGACUGGAUAGGAAGAUAAAAGGCAUCUUUUAUCUUUUAAAAGACCUAGUAAUAGGUAUGCUUUAGGAGGGGCUUGCGCCAUAUUAGUUAGUUGGUAGGGUAAUGGCCUACCAAGACGAUGAUGUGUAGCUGGACUGAGAGGUUGAACAGCCACAUUGGGACUGAGACACGGCCCAAACUCCUACGGGAGGCAGCAGUAGGGAAUUUUCGGCAAUGGAGGAAACUCUGACCGAGCAACGCCGCGUGAAUGACGAAGUACUUCGGUAUGUAAAGUUCUUUUAUCAAGGAAGAAAAGCAAAUGGCGAACCAUUUGUUUGCCGGUACUUGAUGAAUAAGCCCCGGCUAAUUAUGUGCCAGCAGCCGCGGUAAGACAUAAGGGGCAAGUGUUAUCCGGAAUUAUUGGGCGUAAAGGGUGCGUAGGCGGUCUAGUAAGUCAGUGGUGUAAUGGCAACGCUUAACGUUGUCCGGCUAUUGAAACUGCUAAACUUGAGUUAGAUAGAGGCGAGUGGAAUUCCAUGUGUAGCGGUAAAAUGCGUAAAUAUAUGGAGGAACACCAGAGGCGUAGGCGGCUCGCUGGGUCUUAACUGACGCUGAGGCACGAAAGCGUGGGGAGCAAACAGGAUUAGAUACCCUGGUAGUCCACGCCGUAAACGAUGAGUACUAAGUGUCGGGUUAAACCGGUACUGAAGUUAACACAUUAAGUACUCCGCCUGAGUAGUACGUACGCAAGUAUGAAACUUAAAGGAAUUGACGGGACUCCGCACAAGCGGUGGAUCAUGUUGUUUAAUUCGAAGAUACCCGAAAAACCUUACCAGGUCUUGACAUGUUUUUGCAAAAUGAUAGUAAUAUCGUGGAGGUUACCAGAAACACAGGUGGUGCAUGGUUGUCGUCAGCUCGUGUCGUGAGAUGUUAGGUUAAGUCCUAAAACGAGCGAAACCCUUAUCGUUAGUUGCCAGCACGUUAUGGUGGGGACUUUAACGAGACUGCCAAUGAUAAAUUGGAGGAAGGUGAGGAUCACGUCAAAUCAGCAUGCCCCUUAUGACCUGGGCUACAAACGUGAUACAAUGGCUGUUACAAAGGGUAGCUGAAACGCAAGUUCUUGGCCAAUCCCCAAAAACAGUCCCAGUCCGGAUUGAAGUCUGCAACUCGACUUCAUGAAGUUGGAAUCGCUAGUAAUCGCGAAUCAGCAUGUCGCGGUGAAUACGUUCUCGGGGUUUGUACACACCGCCCGUCAAACCACGAAAGUUGGCAAUACCCCAAAACGG